ACCUUCACGUUGGGACUCGGUCAAACUUCGUCGUCUGUUGGCGAUAAAUUUCCCGCCUUCAAAUGGAUCCGAGUCAUCAGUCCCGGCUAGACUACGGUUGCUUUUCAGUAGCGGUAAAGGCACGACUGUACGGAUUCCUUAUCACCCACUGUCUUUCGCUCGUGUGUUCCUGGAAUGGUUUAUAUCUUCCCUUCUCUCGUUUCGGUCUUUCACCAGCUGUCGAACAAGCAGGGAUGGGAAUGGAAAAUAGGAGAGGCAGAUAGGCGAAAAAACAACAUCAAAAACAACUACGAAAAGUUUAAGAAUUGAAUUCGAAAAAUGAACUCAAAGUGGCACUGCGAUAAAGGAUGGAUCGAAAACUGUUCCGAAACAACGAUCCUUAGGAAAAACGAGGAUUAGAAAACGAAUCCUUAGGCGGGCCACGAUGACGACAUAAAUUCUUGCCCGCCUCUUAAACCUUCCCAGUGUUGAAGGGCACUUCAUUUAUGAUGCCGCUACAGAACUACUGAAAUAUUUCAGUUUUUCGAAGCCAAAAGACAAAGCGAGCAGCACUUUACUGCUGUGUUACGUAUGCUUACGUUGUAAACUGUGUAUCUGUGAGCAUAGAAGGCAGUAAGGGAAAGACAUAAAACAUAUGAGACAUUGUAAACCUGCAGAAUAUUAAAAAAACAAAGCGCUUCAGUUCUAUGACUGCUUAUUGAUGAUUUUUUUUAGGAAAUUUUGAGUUUACGCAAGUGAGGAGUUACCGUGAGAACAGACGAACAUUCUGGUGAAUAUACGACCACCUGUAACAAAACUUUGUGACUUCCUCUCGUUGAUAUGGUAUCUAUAAUAAUUCACCAUCGUUUUGACCAUCGGACCGCUCUAUAGAGUUGGUAAACCUACCAUAGACUGAAAAGUAUAUCCCAAAUUGCAUCAUUAUGUUUUAAGCAUGAAGAAUGACCCGCUCGUAUUUACAGCAAAUUUACAAAAAAUAUUUAUUUCCCAUGGGCGGCGGCCCAGUGGUAGAAACGAUAACGCCACCGGUCUUCAUACGACAGGACCGGGUUUCAAAUCUCAUCGAGACCGUUUCCACGUAGUGAGGACUGACUAUCCAACUAAGUGGUAUCGUUAAGUCUAGUAAGCCAGAAAUGGCAGGCAUGACGUAAGAAGUCGUUAGGCUAAGAAGAGAGAGAUAUACAUUUCACAUAAGUUGGGCGAUAAUUCUUUCUUGGAAUUGAACAUUAUUGAUUUCCUUGCAGUACUUCUCGCUUUUAUAUCUUCUUCUUCUUCGAUGGCACUACAAUCUUGAAAGGUCUGGGCCUGCCAUUCUGGCUUUCUGUGACUUGAUUUUACCCGUAGAAAAGUAGUCAGCCCUGCGUACGGGGAGACUGUCUGGAUGGGAUUCGAACCCCGGUCCUGCCGUAUUAAGACCGGCGCCGUUGUCGCCUCGGCCACCAGACCUUAUAUAAUUCCAUAUAAGGAAUUUCACACUAUAAAAAUAUCGAGAGGGGCCUAACUCACCCGGGAUAAGGUGCCCUUUCACGGGUUCAAGAAGGAAAUGUCAUCAAAUUGAUUUGAGUUGUAUUCUUUCGUGUAAUCUAUUUUUUAAGCAAAACGCCCAGAGCGUGCUUUAAAAAAAUUAUCGAGAAAGUUACAAUGUGUGAUUAACGUAUUCACAUGUGGUUUACGCAUUUGUUGCAAGUAGCAAUAUACUAAAUACUGAAGAAGAAAACUAUGUUUGCCAAAAGCAAAGAAACAGAUGAGCAAGAUAUCAUACAAGAUUAUGACAUAGUCACAAAAAAUUCAAGUCUACUCUAUAAUUAUACGCCUAGCGUAAUUGAGCAACAACCAUGCACGAGUCAACCCCCAAAAGAUUUGUCUGACUUUUCAGGUUCCGUGACACCUUAAUAGAAAUAGAACUAUGAACAACCAGAAGCUUUAACCACCCGAGUGCUUACAAGAGAAGUAUCUUUAAAAAACGAUCUGUUUCGGAGGGAAGAAGAGUUAUUACCUGCGAUAUUGGCAACCCACAGGACAAUUCUAAUAGCUAGCGGUCAUUCGUUCGUGAACAGGCUAACAAGAGGAAAGCGUACGAGCACUCUUCAGUUCUGUGUCUAAUAAAUGAUUUUGUGUAAACGUAA